rnacentral:rRNA from 1 species
AUCUUUUAUUAGGACAUUUCGGAUCUAGUGUCGAUAAAGAACGUAGCAAAAUGUAGUAUUUGAAGUAAAUUAAGAAUAUAGUGAAUUAUUGCGACUUCGAAAGCAAGUUGCGGUGAAUGCCGCUAGUCUGUCUGGACGUCG